ACUUCUCUUCCACAUCACUCAUUAUCUCUAACAACAUCGCUGCAGCAGCCUGACCUUCUUCUGCCAUAAGAAAUCAUUAAAUAUAACAAAAAUUUAAAAGAAAAUCAUGUGCUAAAAAGUAUUGAUUCUAAUACAAGUCCUCGAAAAGAAAAAAAAAAUCAAGAAUGUGAAAAUAUAAAUUCAAUUAACUGUGUCUCAAAUACUGGUUCAAAUCUAACUAAAAAAAACGAAUUUAAAAAACUUUCAGUUAAACAUCAAGGAAAAUUAAAACCGAUUAAUGAACAAAAUAUUGAAUACUCUAAGCCAAAUUCACCAGUAAUCCUAACUCCUGCUCCUUCUAACAUAAUAUACAUAUAUGGAAAAUGUAUUUCGAUCAAAUUGUUAGAUUUGAUAUAAUAUAUUACUUAAAGUAAU